UGAGUAAUGUCUGGGAAACUGCCUGAUGGAGGGGGAUAACUACUGGAAACGGUAGCUAAUACCGCAUAAUGUCGCAAGACCAAAGAGGGGGACCUUCGGGCCUCUUGCCAUCGGAUGUGCCCAGAUGGGAUUAGCUAGUAGGUGGGGUAACGGCUCACCUAGGCGACGAUCCCUAGCUGGUCUGAGAGGAUGACCAGCCACACUGGAACUGAGACACGGUCCAGACUCCUACGGGAGGCAGCAUG
rnacentral:rRNA from 1 species